UUGAAAAAGGCUCUUACGAGAGUCAGGGGCCAACUGUUGCCUGAAGAAGGGUAA
rnacentral:ncRNA from 1 species